AGGGUUCGAUUCUGGCUCAGGAUGAACGCUAGCUACAGGCUAACACAUGCAAGUCGAGGGGCAGCAUAAGCUUAGCUGCAAGUUGAUGGCGACCGGCGCACGGGUGAGUAACGCGUAUCCAACCUGGCCCACAGUAGGGGAUAGCCCGGCGAAAGUCGGAUUAAUACCCUAUGUUAUCCGUUGAGGACAUCUGAGAUGGAUCAAAGAUUUAUCGCUAUGGGAUGGGGAUGCGUCUGAUUAGCUUGCCGGCGGGGUAACGGCCCACCGGGGCUUCGAUCAGUAGGGGUUCUGAGAGGAAGGUCCCCCACAUUGGAACUGAGACACGGUCCAAACUCCUACGGGAGGCAGCAGUGAGGAAUAUUGGUCAAUGGGCGCGAGCCUGAACCAGCCAAGUAAGCGUGCAGGAUGACGGCCCUAUGGGUUGUAAACUGCUUUUGCCGGGGAAUAAAGUUCACUACGCGUAGUGUUUUGUAUGUACCCGGAGAAUAAGGACCGGCUAAUUCCGUGCCAGCCGCGGC
rnacentral:rRNA from 1 species